CACUGUGUCUGCCUGCUCAGAGAGCGUUUUGGGGGUACACUUUUGAGUUUUUUUACCACUUGCAACACAGAUGCAGGAAGAGGAACUUUUUCCUGCCCCUGAGCCUAGGGCCUCCACUUCAAGGCCAAGACAAAGACACGAGGUUGGAGCAGACAAUGUGAGGGCCCUGUAUAAGAGAACUCUGGAGCUCGAUAUAGAGUACAAGAGGCUUUUAAUAAA